UACGGGGGGGGCAAGCGUUGUUCGGAAUUACUGGGCGUAAAGGGUGCGUAGGCGGUGCUCUAAGUCGGAUGUGAAAACUCUGGGCUCAACCCAGAGCCUGCAUCCGAAACUAAAGUGCUAGAGUUCUGGAGGGGGUAGCGGAAUUCCUGGUGUAGCGGUGAAAUGCGUAGAUAUCAGGAGGAACACCGGUGGCGAAGGCGGCUACCUGGACAGAAACUGACGCUGAGGCACGAAAGCUAGGGGAGCAAACAGG
rnacentral:rRNA from 1 species